UAUGAUUUUUACUCCCCAGACGCCUCCAGGCUAAGACAGAGGACUGGGGAAGUGUACAACAGGCCUGUCGUUUCCGUCCGGCGAAACAAAGAGAUGAUGGAGAACUCAGAAGUACCACAACUGAAUUGGGAAGGACAGUGAGAAGUCUCUGGAAGACAGGAGAUGUGUGUGUAUUUGAGUUUUGUCAGACGUGUAUCAAGCAGAUAUGAUUAUUUACGUCUGGGACCGACCUUUAACAUCACAAUCCGAAAGACGUGACUAGGGCUCGAACCUCUGCAUCAAUUUGUAACUUCCCCACAGCUUGGAUUACAGGCGCAAGCCACAACGCCCAGGACAGGAGAGCUGUCACAGAUUAUUUAACAAAUUUGUUAACCCGGGUACAUAGUUACAUACAUGUUGUUUACAUAAUUUGUUUUAACAUGCACCACAGGCCACAAGUUAAAGGACAAGUUCAUUCCUACAAAAAGUUGAUUUGAAUAAAACGAGAAAAAUCCAACAAGCAUAACACUGAAAAUUUCAUCAAAAUUGGAUGUAAAAUAAAAAAGUUAUGACAUUUUAAAGUUUAGCUUAAUUUCACAAAAUAGUUAUAUGCCCAUCCUGGCGGGUAUGCAAAUGAGGAGACCGUGACGUCAUCCACUCACUAUUUCUUUUGUAUUUUAUUAUAUGAAAUAUUCUAAUUUUCUUCUCAUUGUCAAGUGGUACAACGAUUAAUUCCUCCCUGAACAUGUGGAAUUAGCACUGUUUAAUACUCCAUGGUUCAGUCAAGUUGGUCCUUAUUGUCAAAUCUAUAAAAAAAUAAAAAAUAUUGUAUACUACUGAUUUGUGAAAAAUAAGCGAAACUUUAAAUGUCAUAGCUUUCUUAUUUUACAUACGAUUUUGAUGAAAUUUUCAGCACUAUGCUAGUUUGAUUUUUCUCUAUUGAUUCAAGUCAGCAUUUUCCUGGGGUGGACUUGACCUUUAGAGAAAAACUUACUCUUGUCUACAAGUCCGAUGCAAAUUUAUUGAUAAAUGUCAUUUGCCACCCAAUGAAAUUACCAAGUGUUAAAUUAUUCUAAGGUGAAUUGUGUCAUUGCUGUGGCUUUGAAAUUAAGGUAAUUUUAUCCUUGUGUAGCUUUGAAAUUAAGAUAAAUUUAUCCUCGUGUAGCCUUGAAAUUAAGAUAAAUUUAUCCUCGUGUAGCCUUGAAAUUAGGAUAAAUUUAUCCUCGUGAAGCUUUGAAAUUAAGAUAAAUUUAUCCUCAUGUAGCUUUGAAAUUAAGAUAAAUUUAUCCUCAUGUAGAUUUGAAAUUAGGAUAAAUUUAUCCUCGUGUAGCCUUGAAAUUAGGAUGAAUUUAUCCUCAUGAAGCCUUAAAAUUAAGAUAAAUUUAUCCUCGUGUAGCCUUGAAAUUAAGAUAAAUUUAUCCUCGUGUAGCCUUGAAAUUAGGAUAAAUUUAUCCUCGUGAAGCUUUGAAAUUAAGAUAAAUUUAUCCUCAUGUAGCUUUGAAAUUAAGAUAAAUUUAUCCUCGUGUAGCCUUGAAAUUAGGAUAAAUUUAUCCUCGUGUAGCCUUGAAAUUAGGAUAAAUUUAUCCUCGUGUAGCUCUGAAAUUAAGAUAAAUUUAUCCUCAUGUAGCCUUGAAAUUAGGAUAAAUUUAUCCUCAUGUAGCCUUGAAGUAAGGAUAAAUUUAUCCUCAUGUAGUCUUGAAAUUAAGAUAAAUUUAUCCUCGUGUAGCUUUGAAAUUAGGAUAAAUUUAUCCUCAUGUAGCCUUGAAAUUAGGAUAAAUUUAUCCUCGUGUAGCUUUGAAAUUAAGAUAAAUUUAUCCUCAUGUAGCUUUGAAAUUAAGAUAAAUUUAUCCUCAUGUGGCCUUGAAAUUAAGAUAAAUUUAUCCUCAUGUAGACUGAAAUUAAGAUAAAUUUAUCCUCGUGUAGCUUUGAAAUUAAGAUAAAUUUAUCCUCAUGUAGCCUUGAAGUUAGGAUAAAUUUAUCCUCAUGUAGACUGAAAUUAAGAUAAAUUUAUCCUCGUGUAGCCUUGAAAUUAGGAUAAAUUUAUCCUUGUGUAGCCUUGAAAUUAGGAUAAAUUUAUCCUCAUGUAGCCUUGAAAUUAAGAUAAAUUUAUCCUCGUGUAGCUUUGAAAUUAAGAUAAAUUUAUCCUCGCGUAGCCUUCAAAUUAGGAUAAAUUUAUCCUCGUGAAGCUUUGAAAUUAAGAUAAAUUUAUCCUCAUGUAGCUUUGAAACGAAGAUAAAUUUAUCCUCAUGUAGCUUUGAAAUUAGGAUAAAUUUAUCCUCGUGUAUUCUUGAAAUUAAGAUAAAUUUAUCCUCGUGUAUCCUUGAAAUUAAGAUGAAUUUAUCCUCGUGUAUCCUUGAAAUUAAGAUAAAUUUAUCCUCGUGUAGCCUUGAAAUUAGGAUAAAUUUAUCCUCGUGAAGCUUUGAAAUUAAGAUAAAUUUAUCCUCAUGUAGCUUUGAAAUUAAGAUAAAUUUAUCCUCGUGUAGCUUUGAAAUUAGGAUAAAUUUAUCCUCAUGUAGCCUUGAAAUUAGGAUAAAUUUAUCCUCUUGUAGCUUUGAAAUUAGGAUAAAUUUAUCCUCGUGUAGCUUUGAAAUUAAGAUAAAUUUAUCCUCAUGUAGAUUUGAAAUUAGGAUAAAUUUAUCCUCGUGUAUUCUUGAAAUUAGGAUGAAUUUAUCCUCAUGAAGCCUUAAAAUUAAGAUAAAUUUAUCCUCGUGUAUCCUUGAAAUUAAGAUAAAUUUAUCCUUGUGUAGCCUUGAAAUUAGGAUAAAUUUAUCCUCGUGAAGCUUUGAAAUUAAGAUAAAUUUAUCCUCAUGUAGCUUUGAAAUUAAGAUAAAUUUAUCCUCAUGUAGCAUUGAAAUUAGGAUAAAUUUAUCCUCGUGUAGCCUUGAAAUUAGGAUAAAUUUAUCCUCGUGUAGUCUUGAAAUUAGGAUAAAUUUAUCCUCGUGUAGCUUUGAAAUUAAGAUAAAUUUAUCCUCAUGUAGCUUUGAAAUUAAGAUAAAUUUAUCCUCAUGUAUUCUUGAAAUUAGGAUGAAUUUAUCCUCAUGAAGCCUUGAAAUUAAGAUAAAUUUAUCCUCGUGUACCCUUGAAAUUAAGAUAAAUUUAUCCUCGUGUAGCCUUGAAAUUAGGAUAAAUUUAUCCUCAUGAAGCUUUGAAAUUAAGAUAAAUUUAUCCUCAUGUAGCUUUGAAAUUAAGAUAAAUUUAUCCUCAUGUAGCAUUGAAAUUAGGAUAAAUUUAUCCUCGUGUAGCCUUGAAAUUAGGAUAAAUUUAUCCUCGUGUAGCCUUGAAAUUAGGAUAAAUUUAUCCUCGUGUAGCUUUGAAAUUAAGAUAAAUUUAUCCUCUUGUAGCUUUGAAAUUAAGAUAAAUUUAUCCUCAUGUAGCUUUGAAAUUAAGAUAAAUUUAUCCUUGCGGAGCCUUGAAAUUAGGAUAAAUUUAUCCUCAUGUAGCCUUGAAAUUAAGAUAAAUUUAUCCUGCUGUAGUAUUAGCAGGAUGAACUAAUCCUUAUAAUUGUAAUAGAUUUGUAUGAUAUAUUUAUUUGAUCUGUUAUUCCUAUUAAAUGGUUGUAUUAAUUGAAA